GUCAAAUCGUGCAGAGAAAAACUGGGGCAAAAGUCUUAUUUUGUAAUUUGUCAGAAUGGGUUCUGAAAAGCUGUGCUUGCUCCCAAGGGUUUCCUGCAGGCGAAAAGGAAACUUCCCUAAGACAGAAGAGGGAAUCCACCAUUUGGCCCCGGAUGGAUGGUCUCAGCCACAGGACAGGAACAAGGACAGGAAUCUGCUCACAGGUCCCCGCCCAGCUGCUCUCUGACCGGCCACAGUAUUCAGGCCAAGACACUCAGCUGUGACUGCGAAUGCUACUUGUCUGACCUAAGGAUCUAAGGACUGUAGCUGCCUUGUUUGCAUUUCUUACUCCAACGAUAACUCAAAGAAAAGAAAAUGAAUCACCGUGGAAAAUGAGGGGAGGGUGCAAAAGUAGUGCCGCAGAGCCUCAGAAUCCUCCCACCUGCCCUCCACCUGCAUCUCCACCAGCCCAUUCUCACCCUUCCCCACAUCGCAGGAGAGGAACCGCCCAGUUUCCGGGAAGACAGGGUCACUUGGUUUAGCUGGAGUGGUCCCACUCUUCCUAAGUACCUGGUCUUCACAGUAGCUGCUGUGGCAGGGAAGGACGCAAUCCCAGGACUAGACUCUUAUCUUCUCCUUUUGCCCAGGCCCCACCAGCUUCCACACUGAACAACACGGGGCCUGUGGAUCCAUCCUCAUCCCCUCCCUAAGCUACUGACCCACUCCCCUCCCCCUCCUGGCAUUGAUGGGCUGUCCUCAGGGAAGCCAGUGACCCUAGUCCAGGGCCUCAGACCAGGGUCAAGGGGCAGAAUGUCUACACCAGGCCAGGGAUCCCUGCAGACUGGUCUUCGGGAAGUGCACCCCCAGAUGCAAUCAGUUCACAGAGGAAAACCACAUUUUGUUUAGUCUUUUCCUAGUCUAGAAGGCCUAGUAUUUAAUAAACCCUGGAGCCAGCCCUGAGGGGGACUGGCUUUUAUGGGCUCCAGGCAGCUCUCUCAGCCUCUUCCCAGGUGGGGGGGCUUGGCCUGUUGGCAGCUGACUUGAGUUUUCUUCCCAGCCCCACCUCGCCCAAUGCCCCCACCUUUUCCAUGAGAUGAAGAGAAACUUGGCCUCCAAGGGUCACUCUUCUCCCCAGGAAUGUGUGGCCCAGCUUCUCCAGUUUAAAAGACUUUCCUCUGCUCCAGGGCUGACCCCAAACAGAUGGGAACCUCUAGAGCUUGGUUGGCCAAUGCCAUGUUCAGCCCAGUCACAGCUGAGAUCUUGUCACCUAGGUGAGUGCUUUACUGCUGGAGAAGUAGCAAUCAAGAGAACAGUUCUUUUUAACAUGGACAUGAGAGAUUUUAGGGACCAGUCCCCAGUGCUCAAAUCAUAGCAGGUCCCACCCAAGAACUUGGCUCAUCCACAAACCAAGCUCCUGCCAAGCCCUGGCUUAUGGAGAUGGACCAGACAUUCCUGGGGCAUCAUGGCAGGCGGCCACUGAUGCUGUCUCAAAUCCUGGGGUUCCAUAUUACGGAGAGAAUCAGCUGCAAAAGGCAACAAUUGUCUUUGAGUCACCCCUGCCCUUCCAAAAAUCAGGCUUUCAAGAGUUGAAGGCGUGAAGCGUAAUGCAGGGAAUUUCUGACAGUGCAGAGGGUAUCUGACAGGCUGGGAUGUUCCAGCGAUGACUGAACACGCAGAUUGAAUGGAACACUGAUUACAUUCUUGGUUAGCCGCCUAUAUAGCCCAUACUGGGUCCUCAUUACAUGUGCCCUAACAACAAACAUUAUGUUUCAUUAAAAUAUUACACACUUAGGAAAAUACUUCUAAAAAUGCAAAGAGGAGAAUAAAAACUACCGCAAGUGCUAUACUGAGACCCAGCGCUGUGGCAAGUUCCCCUGACCUGUCUGCAGGGAUCAUUACAAGCCGAUACUGGCUGCCCAGCGGGACCUGAUGAGACAUCAGAGAGCUCACGUGACCUCCAUUAUCACUGUCACCGCCGUGCGUGCUGUUCACACAAACAUCGGAGAUGUAAGUGACACUUUACAACAAUUCCUGAGCCUUCCAUCAUGUGGCUCAGAAUGUCAUGGCCCAGAUGAUGUCGGGGGGUAUUAAAACAAAUAAAUGAACCAUCGAACAAGUAAAUAAAUAAAUACACAAAGGAAAGCGGGGAGAGAGAGGGAAGGAACCGGUUAGGGCACUCACACAGUGCAGAGGAGUCUGAAAAGGAAUGCUGCCUGCUGGCGCCCUGGCUCUCUGUCUCUCUCCCUGUCUUUCUGUCUCUGUGUGUGUUUUUCCUCACUCUCUGUCUCUCUCGCCAUCUAGCUGUCUCUCCUCUCUCGGCCCUUUCUCAUCAUAAACCCCCUUACAUGUGAUCUCCUUUAAUCCUCACAACAGCCUGAUGUAGUCACUGGCUUUCCUCCUAUUUUACAGCUGAGAAAACUGGAGCUCUGAGAGAUGGACUACCUUGCUCCAAGACACACAGGUGAAUCCUAGUGGAGCUGGAGUCAGCCCCAGAUAGCUCUAUGCCCACCCUCCACCUCCCCCUCCAGCCUGUGUGUGCACGUAUGUGCGGGUGUGUUGAUGGGAAUAUACCCUAAGUCAGAUUGCAACUUGCAAUCUACAGCUCACGGACCAGAAACCUUAGCAUUUCCUGGGAGCUCUGUAGAAAUGCGGUGUCCCAGACCCCUCCCCAGACCUCCCAAGUCAGAAACUGCAUUUUCACAGGAUCCCUUGGGAACUCCUGGGCAUGUGACAGGCUAAGAAACACCUCUC
rnacentral:lncRNA from 1 species